UACGUAGGGGGCGAGCGUUGUCCGGAAUCAUUGGGCGUAAAGAGCUCGUAGGCGGUCUGUUGCGUCCGCUGUGAAAACUCGGGGCUUAACCCCGAGCCUGCAGUGGAUACGGGCAGACUAGAGGUAGGUAGGGGAGAAUGGAAUUCCCGGUGUAGCGGUGAAAUGCGCAGAUAUCGGGAGGAAUACCGAUGGCGAAGGCAGCCCCCUGGGUCAAGACUGACGCUCAUGCACGAAAGCGUGGGGAGCAAACAGG
rnacentral:rRNA from 1 species